UUUAGAUCUUUAUCAUAUGCUAGGUUUGUUUUAUAUUCGCCUUGACCCAUUUUGGCUGUUUCUGUCUGUCUUGUUUGAAUUAUUUUGAAGGUAUCAUUUAGCCCACCUAAUUAGUCCUAGGCUAUAACAGUUAUAGCUAGGCAGUACGUUAUAUAGGCUUAAAACAGCUUCAAUGCAAGCAAUGGGCCUAUAAGUUACUCAGUCAUUGAUGCACACCAUAGGCCUAACUUAGACAUUUGUUUUUACUUUGGUGGUCUCUUUUUACCUAGCAUUUGGCCGUUCACAUAGGCCUAGCUUAACAUAGGUCUCGGGCUCCUACGUUUAAGUAGGCCUAAGGUAUCCAGCAACGGAAGGGGUGAACCGUAACUGUUCAAAGAUACCGAUACGAAGCCUUGUCCUGAGCUUCAGUUGCAUGUUUGGUCAACUGUGCAAAUAGUGUCUGCCAACAAAACCACAAGGAGCAGACACCUUUUGUGGAGUGGAGAGAGAGAACAGAGUGUAAAGAGUAGGCCUACACAAACUACAAAAUAUUAUGUUUUGUAGUAACACAAACAUAAUGCAAUAUAAGCUGAGUAUAGUCCUACAGUAAG